AAACUAGAACUGCGAAGCUGGCUUCGGUUCGCGAUCCUCCUCUCUGGCUCCGGGCUGCGCGCAGAGUCUGGGUGGCGAGCGAAUGGUGCCUGCGAUCUUCUGCCUCGGGGAGCCGGCUGUCUUCCUUGUGCUAAAAAAACGGAGGAAGUCUGUCUGCCACAGGGCAGAGGGUGGUAUCCAAAGGGUCUCCUCUCCUUGAGUGACUGGUUCCUCCAUUGGAUCUCAGCUCGUAGCUCCUGACCUCAAGCAAGGUUCAUCGAGUGCUGUAGCAAUUGUAGAGGCGUCCGAGGGAGACAGGGGCCAGCGGGUUGGCUAGAACGACUUGCAACUAUGUUAAUGACUUUGGCCAAGUAACGUUUGAAGUUCAACUGAGCCAGAAUGGACAGAGACGAGUGCUACUGAAGUGGAAAUGUCUUAUAUCCUGUUUUGUGAUUCCCUGCCUCAGAGCUGAGUCACCCCUGCCUGAAGAAAGGAUCCUUCAUCCCAAGGCUCACUCACUUCCUAUCCAAGCCAUCUCAAGGUACCAGCCCAGGAUGCUAAAGGCAAAUGAACCAAGGAACCCCUCCUGCGCCUGGACCUGAAGAUGAAGGGCUAUAAUCCCAGCUUCUCAGGAGGACAAGGCGGGAGGAGUUCCAGGUCACUCUGGGAAAUCUAGAGACUCUCAAAAAAAAAAAAAAAAUCAAAAGGAUUGGAAACUUCAAGGAGUCAUAGUACAAUGGAUAACCUUCUCAGUGCACAUGGGUCCCGUGCCCUAGCACCCAAUAGGUAGAUCUCCUGCUUGUCCGUUCCCUAGCAUCCAAUACUGGCAAGAGAGGCAAAGGCCCCCACCUCCUCUGCCUCUCUCCUUACUCCCUUUCCCGACUCAGAGUCCUAGGUUGGUUAAGAACCCCCUAGCCCCACAGGCAGCUGUCCUUUGCACUUAGCCAAGCAAGGUGGGGUGGGCAUGACCCCCAUUCUGACUUGUACUUCCUCUCUCUGUUGCCAGGCUUCUAGUUGGCAUUGCUCGCCUGCCACUUCCUCCAUUCCAACCGUCUCUCUUCACUCUGAAACCCAAAGCCUGCUCAAGACCCAGUUGGUUCAGAGCUCAGGUUCAUGUGUCUUAGGAGAGGGUUCUAUUAGUCUGGAAAAUGAGUGCAGCCAGAAGACAAGAAACUGGCUGGGGGGGGGAUUGGGGGAAGGGAAGAUGACCGAGGAGCCCCCCCCCCUUCUCUCUACCCCAUCCCAUGAUUUCCUUUGUCUCCUGUCCCAAUCCCAACCCAUCUCCCCACCCCCAGCCUAUGAGCCUGGAGGCUUCCCAAUAAAACAGUAUUGUAACC
rnacentral:lncRNA from 1 species